rnacentral:tmRNA from 1 species
GGGGGCGAUACGGUUUCGACGUGGGUUGUGAAGGUUCAGCAGCGUGACAGCCGAUGAUCGUGACGGCUCAAGCAACACGAUCAAACAGAGAAGCGAACGACAACGCUCUCGCUCUCGCCGCCUAAUUAGCGUGUGAGACGUCUCCCGAAGAGUCCGCCUGUACUCUUCGACGAGGCGCCAAAGAACAGGAUGCCUUCCAGGGACCGCACGCCGACCUGGGAGAAAGAUAAAGGAGUGAUUGCCUGCGAGGGAGCCUGUCUGUCGGCGACUUCGCGGGUGAAACAAAAGACAGACUAGGUUCCGUAGACGCUGAACCGGAACGCUUGCGGACCCGGGUUCGACUCCCGGCGCCUCCACCC